rnacentral:ncRNA from 1 species
AUCGAAAAAGGCAAACCAUGCGAAAGCAUGGGACGCAAAGCCACGGGUCUACAGCGUUAUGCGCAUGACAGCCGGGCUGCUGCAG